UGGUAAUAUAGGUACAUACCAACAUACUCUA
rnacentral:piRNA from 1 species